CAGGCCUAACACAUGCAAGUCGAGCGAAUGGAUUAAGAGCUUGCUCUUAUGAAGUUAGCGGCGGACGGGUGAGUAACACGUGGGUAACCUACCCAUAAGACUGGGAUAACUCCGGGAAACCGGGGCUAAUACCGGAUAAUAUUUUGAACUGCAUAGUUCGAAAUUGAAAGGCGGCUUCGGCUGUCACUUAUGGAUGGACCCGCGUCGCAUUAGCUAGUUGGUGAGGUAACGGCUCACCAAGGCGACGAUGCGUAGCCGACCUGAGAGGGUGAUCGGCCGCACUGGGGCUGAGACACGGCCCAGACUCCUACGGGAGGCAGCAGUAGGGAAUCUUCCGCAAUGGACGAAAGUCUGACGGAGCAACGCCGCGUGAGUGAUGAAGGCUUUCGGGUCGUAAAACUCUGUUGUUAGGGAAGAACA
rnacentral:rRNA from 1 species